UGGGGAAUCUUGCACAAUGGGGGCAACCCUGAUGCAGCGACGCCGCGUGAGCGAUGAAGGUUUUCGAAUCGUAAAGCUCUGUCCUAUGGGAAGAUAAUGACGGUACCAUAGGAGGAAGCCCCGGCUAACUACGUGCCAGCAGCCGCGGUAAUACGUAGGGGGCGAGCGUUGUCCGGAAUUACUGGGCGUAAAGGGUUCGCAGGCGGCAUGGCAAGUCCGAUGUAAAAGGCGAAGGCUCAACCUUCGUAAGCAUCGGAAACUGUCAAGCUUGAGUAAAGGAGAGGAAAGUGGAAUUCCUAGUGUAGCGGUGGAAUGCGUAGAUAUUAGGAGGAAUACCGGUGGCGAAGGCGACUUUCUGGACUUGAACUGACGCUGAGGAACGAAAGCGUGGGGAGCAAACAGG
rnacentral:rRNA from 1 species